UUGAUAGUACCUUACUACUUGGAUAACCGUGGUAAUUCUAGAGCUAAUACAUGCUAAAAACCCCAACUUCGGGAGGGGUGUAUUUAUUAGAUAAAAAACCAAUGCCCUUCGGGGCUCCUUGGUGAUUCAUGAUAACUUCUCAGAUCGCAUGGCCUUGUGCUGGCGACGGUUCAUUCAAAUUUCUGCCCUAUCAACUUUCGAUGGUAAGGUAUUGGCUUACCAUGGUUUCAACGGGUAACGGGGAAUUAGGGUUCGAUUCCGGAGAGGGAGCCUGAGAAACGGCUACCACAUCCAAGGAAGGCAGCAGGCGCGCAAAUUACCCAAUUCCGAUACGGAGAGGUAGUGACAAUAAAUACUGAUACAGGGCUCUUUUGGGUCUUGUAAUUGGAAUGAGUACAAUUUAAACCUCUUAACGAGGAACAAUUGGAGGGCAAGUCUGGUGCCAGCAGCCGCGGUAAUUCCAGCUCCAAUAGCGUAUAUUAAAGUUGUUGCAGUUAAAAAGCUCGUAGUUGAACCUUUGGCCUGGCUGGCAGGUCCGCCUCACCGCGUGCACUUGUCCGGCCGGGCCUUUUCUUCUGGAGAACCGCAUGCCCUUCACUGGGUGUGUUGGGGACCAGGACUUUUACUUUGAAAAAAUUAGAGUGUUCAAAGCAGGCCUUUGCUCGAAUACGUUAGCAUGGAAUAAUAGAAUAGGACGUGCGGUCCUAUUUUGUUGGUUUCUAGGACCGCCGUAAUGAUUAAUAGGGACAGUCGGGGGCAUCAGUAUUCAAUUGUCAGAGGUGAAAUUCUUGGAUUUAUUGAAGACUAACUACUGCGAAAGCAUUUGCCAAGGAUGUUUUCAUUAAUCAGUGAACGAAAGUUAGGGGAUCGAAGACGAUCAGAUACCGUCGUAGUCUUAACCAUAAACUAUGCCGACUAGGGAUCGG
rnacentral:rRNA from 1 species